rnacentral:tRNA from 1 species
GCUAGUAUAGCUCAAUUGGUAGAGCUGCUGAUUUGUAAUCAGCAGGUUAUGGGUUCGAUUCCCUUUACUAGCU